CGGAGGAUCCAAGCGUUAUCCGGAUUUAUUGGGUUUAAAGGGUGCGUAGGCGGCCUAUUAAGUCAGGGGUGAAAGACGGUGGCUCAACCAUCGCAGUGCCUUUGACACUGAUGGGCUUGAAUGCAGCUGAGGUAGGCGGAAUGUGACAAGUAGCGGUGAAAUGCAUAGAUAUGUCACAGAACACCGAUUGCGAAGGCAGCUUACUAAAGUGCAAUUGACGCUGAGGCACGAAAGCGUGGGGAUCAAACAGGAUUAGAUACCCUGGUAGUCCACGCCCUAAACGAUGAAUACUCGAUGUUAGCGAUAUACAGUUAGCGUCUAAGCGAAAGCGUUAAGUAUUCCACCUGGGGAGUACGCCCGCAAGGGUG
rnacentral:rRNA from 1 species